AUAUAAGACAAUUUGUCUUUAGGUAGUGGUAAAUUACUCUAAAAAAUUAAUCCCAGUUUCCCCUUCAAGUCAAGCAUCUUGU
rnacentral:pre_miRNA from 1 species